rnacentral:rRNA from 1 species
ACGUUAGCGGCGGACGGGUGAGUAACACGUGGGUAACCUACCUAUAAGACUGGGAUAACUUCGGGAAACCGGAGCUAAUACCGGAUAAUAUUUCGAACCGCAUGGUUCGAUAGUGAAAGAUAGUUUUGCUAUCACUUAUAGAUGGACCCGCGCCGUAUUAGCUAGUUGGUAAGGUAACGGCUUACCAAGGCGACGAUACGUAGCCGACCUGAGAGGGUGAUCGGCCACACUGGAACUGAGACACGGUCCAGACUCCUACGGGAGGCAGCAGUG